GGCCGAAGAGUCGAUUUGCGGAACUAGUAUGGAAAAGUCAUAGCCGAGCGCCGAGCUUAUCGAGCGGCGGCUUACAAAAUGGCGCCUCCCCGUCGUUGAAAGGCUUCUUAGCACGAUUUAGGCCUGGUUUUGGCCUGGUUAAAACUAGCUCCUAGGAAGUUAGCCAACUAGACGUCCUUACUUACAACUUACAACUCUGUGUAACACACUGUUGUUGUCUGGAAGGCCUGGGAGAAGUGUAGGCUAGGGUUCAAGGUGCUUUCACUAGGCCUCACAGAGGCUCUGUUGGUUUGUGUGAGUUCCACUUUACAAACCAAAGGUGAACCAAGGUGCUCAAGACAGAGUUCAAUCCAGAUCCCAGUUUAUCUAUCUGCCCAGCAGGGUCCUGGUUUGUUUAUUGUUUACCAACAUUGGGAAAUGCCCUUUAAAAACAUUCCUCCUGCCCUCAGCCUUCAAGGGGGCCUGGCAGUAAGAAGCAUUGGAAGGAGUAAGGAAAGAGAAAUGUGGCAUUACAGCUGGAGGGACCCAGUCCAAAAGGCCACAGGCCUUAGCUUCCAGGAUUUAAGGAGGGCUGUUGAUAAGAAGGAGGCUUGGAGGAGGUCUCUCGUUCAUAGGGUCGCCCUAAAUCAAAGUCAAUCCGCUGGCAGUUAAUAACCACAAUCUGAUAUGAAAUUUCACCUCAUUGUCCACUAAAACCCUGGACAAAACGUAGGACAAAAUCUAGACCAAUUAAGAAAAAUGGAGGACUGUAAAUGUCCUACAUUUUGGGCUGAGUUUUGUCCUGCAGUUUGGUCUAGAUUUCGUCCUACGUUUUGUCCCGGGUUUUAGUGGACAAUUACGGCAACCCUAACGCAGUGUCUUUUGUGUCCCUUGAUUCUUGUUUGCAGACAGAUGACAGCGAAACGUCAGGAAGAAACUCGUUCUAGAACGUGGCCACGGAGCCCAAAGAACCCACAAAAGACCACGGAUGCCGGCCGUGAAAGCCUUCGACUUCGUGAUUAUUCAGUGAUGGAAGAUACUUUUGCUGCACAGAAGAGAAAUAUCAUCAGACAUAGAAUCUGAAAAGUAGGUGUUGUUGAAGUUCAAUAAAUGUGUUUAAAUAA